CAAAAAUAGGCGUAAUAUAUAUAGAGAUAUCAAAAUUAUUAACAUAUAUAUCCGUUUAAUAAAGUAAAUGCCCCAGUAGUAGACAACGCUGUAGUAGUAAACACUUGGAACUUAAAAGAAAAAUAAUAUGAAUUAGAGGUAUUGGAAUUUCAAACUAAUAAACAUGGUAACUUAUUAGCAACUAAUUUUUUUAAUGGUUGAAUAGCUUAAUAUUAAGCUAUCUAGUCGCUGGUAUUUUUUAUGGAUGCAGCAAAAAAAUUAUUUUUAACAGCAAAAAAAGCAAAUAAUUAGCAAAAAAUUGUCAUAUAUUGUUUUUUGCGUUCUGAUAAUUUGGCUUAGACAGCUCAAUAGAUCUAUAAUCUUUGGUAUAAAUAUUGCUCACAAAUCGAAAUAUUUUAAUCUCACAAAACUAUUUAAAAAUGUCACAAAUGUUUUCUUACAUGAAGUUGCACGUACAUUGGAACACUUGAUGCAUAUUUUUUAAUAUGUAUAUUUUCGGAAUUUUAUAAUAUUUCUGCAACAUUACUGGAACAUUUCGGUGUAAUAUUGAUAUUGCAUGUUUCUGAAACAUCUCUGCAAUAUUACAUUGCAACUCGUAAUAUUGUAUCGUUGCAGCAAUGUUGCUGAAAGCUUCUGUGCUGUAUGGAAAUUAAAUUUAAAAAAU